ensembl:lncRNA
UUGCAAAUAAAAAAAAAUAUAUUUACAAAUGUGUUUAAUGUCACAAACACAACUCUACCUGGCAUUUAUUUGUGAACCGCUGUCUGUGCAUUUGUAAAUUACUGCACGCAUUUGUGGAUCGCUUCCUGUGCAUUUGUGGAUUUGAAACACUUCUAGCGUCGACGUGCAGAUAAAUCCACAAAUAAGUGGACUCCACCCACCGUCUACUUAACCCAAUCAGACAACGCCCAUGUUGCACUGACCAAUCGCAGCACGCUCUCUCUCCAACCAAUCACGUUUUGCCUAACAACCAGGGCGGGAUCAGACACAUGAACGCGAGUCACUCGCUACAGUCUCUUCAACAUGGCCGAUCAAGAGGAGUAAAGACAGUUACUACAGACCAGCUACAAAAGCUUACAUCAUUUUGGACUGGAUGGGAAGUCCCAUCCAAGAAUCUCCAGGUAAAUGUUUGGAAUGGAAGAUACUUCAAGGCUUCUACCUGCAGCAGGACCCUGAUGAUACCAGCUGAAAUAACCACAAUGGAUAACUUUGCAUCUACAUUGCAAGCUUGUGCUAACACAUCCUCCACUGGGUUUGGACUCAUUUAAUUCUGGACACUGGUUCAUUGUAAUUGUUUUUUCUAUGUACAAGUAAUAAUAAUAAAUAAAGUACUUCAAUAACAUUUUAAAAUAAAUUUAAUUAUUUUACAUGUCUUAAAAGGUUGUUUCCACAAGUUUUACUUAAGAUACAACUAUAUAUACACAUUUACAACCUUGCUGUCAAAAUUAGAGCAGCAGAAAUAAACCUUCAAAUAUCCCUUUAUUCAAUCAAAGUCUGUACAUAUGUGAGAGUCUUGAGGUAUACAUCUACUCCAAAUGAAUCAGACACUUGCAGUGGGUCAAUUUGCUCAUUUGUGAGUUGUGGCCUGUGAAUUACAGGCACGUUGACUGCAAAGUGAACAUGGUCAGCAUCUCCACCAUCUUGUUCAACUGCCAUUGAGUCUGAAUAUUCCAUCUAAAGGUAAACAAAUAAAUCAUUUUAAAUAUGGGGGGUUAAUCUAACAGAGCAAAACCAAUAAAGCAUUGUAAGAAGAAAUAAUUACCUCAGGGUUAAUUAUUGGAUUCUCUCUCUGGCCAAACACAUUCUCUCAUCCGACGAACGAUAGUUGUAUGAGUGACACCUAAAAUGUUACUGAUGUUUUCCUGGGGUAAUCCAAGCUUCUGAAAGUGGAUUAGUCUGUCAUUUGCUGCCUCACUGUCCUAAAAUGCAUAAUAACAAACACAGAACAUUUUGAUCAAUGAAAUAAACCUUGUUCAUAAUGAAAUAUUAGUCUAAUUGGUAAAUACAGCACAGUACUUUAGAUUUUUUUAUUUUUAGCAGAUAGCCAAUAUUCCAACAAUAUUUUUAAAUGUAACAUGCUACAUGACCAAGUGGUCAUUUAAUUACCUUAAAAAAAAAAUUUAAUAACACAGACGGACGGAUGGGUUCAGAAAACACCAGAGAGGUAGAAAACUGGGAAACACUAGUUAAAUUACAAAUAACGUUAUAGUUUUAUUUUGGAUGUUACUACA